UGAGUGUCAAGAGAAAAAAUACCUUGAUCACUCAGGUGCCCUCUCCUCAGUUUUUCUCUGUCCAGGCUUGAAGAACUAUAACCAUUUCCAAGUUCUAAAAGGACAGGUGGGGGAGUUAUUUGUUUGUUUAUUUGUUUGUUUUGAUUUCAGAAAGAUGUGAACUCCAGGAUCUCUUGAGAGACUGCCAGAGCCAGCAGCCCCAAGGAUACUUCGAACAGUGGGCACUGGUGCAAUUCUAUAAAAAGAAACCAGAAACCAUUUAGAUGUGUGUCAGGAAGAAGCACUUCCAGAUGCUUGAGGAAAGAUGCAAGAUAGCAAGGUACUGAGUAUAAAACGAUAUAAAACAAUAUGAGAGGGUCUCUCUCUUCCCUCACUGCCACUACAUCCUAUUUGUGGAAACAGUCUCAAUCCUGCUCAGAUUCAAGAGGAGGAGAUUUGUACUUCGCCUCUUGAUGGGGGUGAAACAAGCUUCUAGAAGGGCCCACAGGAUGGGAGAUAUUUUGGCCAUCUUCAGAGAACACAGUUUGCCUCAGCAAACAGCAUAUUGUAUGACUUCACCAGGCUGUCCUAACUUACAAACCCCACUUUAAAAUUACCACCCCUGGGAACCCCAUUGCAAGUUUAGAAAAAUCACUGGAUUCAUGAGGUCAGGAGAUCGAGACCAACCUGGCUAACAUGGUGAAACCCUGCCUCUAUUA
rnacentral:lncRNA from 1 species